AGAGUUUGAUCCUGGCUCAGGAUGAACGCUGGCGGUGUGCCUAAUACAUGCAAGUCGAGCGAACGGACGAGAAGCUUGCUUCUCUGAUGUUAGCGGCGGACGGGUGAGUAACACGUGGAUAACCUACCUAUAAGACUGGGAUAACUUCGGGAAACCGGAGCUAAUACCGGAUAAUAUUUUGAACCGCAUGGUUCAAAAGUGAAAGACGGUCUUGCUGUCACUUAUAGAUGGAUCCGCGCUGCAUUAGCUAGUUGGUAAGGUAACGGCUUACCAAGGCAACGAUGCAUAGCCGACCUGAGAGGGUGAUCGGCCACACUGGAACUGAGACACGGUCCAGACUCCUACGGGAGGCAGCAGUAGGGAAUCUUCCGCAAUGGGCGAAAGCCUGACGGAGCAACGCCGCGUGAGUGAUGAAGGUCUUCGGAUCGUAAAACUCUGUUAUUAGGGAAGAACAUAUGUGUAAGUAACUGUGCACAUCUUGACGGUACCUAAUCAGAAAGCCACGGCUAACUACGUGCCAGCAGCCGCGGUAAUACGUAGGUGGCAAGCGUUAUCCGGAAUUAUUGGGCGUAAAGCGCGCGUAGGCGGUUUUUUAAGUCUGAUGUGAAAGCCCACGGCUCAACCGUGGAGGGUCAUUGGAAACUGGAAAACUUGAGUGCAGAAGAGGAAAGUGGAAUUCCAUGUGUAGCGGUGAAAUGCGCAGAGAUAUGGAGGAACACCAGUGGCGAAGGCGACUUUCUGGUCUGUAACUGACGCUGAUGUGCGAAAGCGUGGGGAUCAAACAGGAUUAGAUACCCUGGUAGUCCACGCCGUAAACGAUGAGUGCUAAGUGUUAGGGGGUUUCCGCCCCUUAGUGCUGCAGCUAACGCAUUAAGCACUCCGCCUGGGGAGUACGACCGCAAGGUUGAAACUCAAAGGAAUUGACGGGGACCCGCACAAGCGGUGGAGCAUGUGGUUUAAUUCGAAGCAACGCGAAGAACCUUACCAAAUCUUGACAUCCUUUGACAACUCUAGAGAUAGAGC
rnacentral:rRNA from 4 species